AGUAAGCUUCCAACUUCCAAGUUCCUUUUUUGGCUAAGGCUUUAAUGUAGAACCAAUAGAACACUCAUUGAGGGUGAGAUCUCAAAAUUUAUGUUAAUUCUCAAUAUCAGUUGUCAAAAUAUCGAUGAUAGAAGACAUGUCCAGAAUUAAAGAUUGGCAUGCUACAAAAAAUGAUGGCGACUUUGCUGUGAGAACUGAGAGGCUGCGAUACUGUGAUGGUUAAUCAAGUCCAACUAUGUAAUUUCCUCCCACAUUGGUUCUCUCUUACCUGCCUAUGGCCUUGAGUAUAACAUCCAUAAACCUGAUAUAUCAUUCCAUGGAAAAUCAAGCUUCGAAUAUUUUGAAACUUAUGUAUUGCUUUCAGCCUUUCACACUGUUUCAUUGACAGAUCGGUGAUGCCUUGCUUCAUUAUUCAAAGCACCUGCCUCCGCUGCAUUUCUUGCUUCAAUCUGAAUAGCUGAGAAAUCUUUGCUCAAUUCUCGCAAAUGUGCACAAACUUCAUGCUAUUUCUUCUGUUGCAAUGCUCGUCUCUGAUCAUGUUCCUCCUUAUUUCUUGCUCUAUCUUCCAAGUAAAUCUUCAUUCUUCAGGAAGGUUUCAAACUGUUGUUGUAAGUCUUUCAAAUCACCCAUAAAAUCAGGCUUUGAUACGAAAUUUUUACAGCUCUGUGCUUGGAAUGUAGUUAUGGGCCUAUUAACAAUAAAUCAAAUUCUGGAUUUAAAUUAGUUUUUUGUAUAGCGGAUUUCCUUAUUGUGACAGAGGCUUAUUAAAUAGAUCUCUUUAAGAACAUGUUUUUGGAUAAUAAUUCUGAUAUUCAUUUACUUCCCUUUGUUCCUUACAAGUACAGUCUUAUCCUUCAUAAGGAGUUGCAAUUUGCAUGAAAUUAAUACCUAAAAGUAAAGAAACUGCCUCCACUCUUUUAGCACACAUGACAGAGCCUAAGUACAGUUAACACAAACCGAAAAUCAUCAAAUUGCAAAGAAAACAAAUUCCAACAAAUAAAACCCACAUGCAUUUCAAAAA
rnacentral:misc_RNA from 1 species